CGCCGCCCUCAAAUCCUCUUCGUCUCAAAUUCUCUCUAGCUCCUCUGAAACCAUAGCCCUAUCUCACCGUCUUCCACCAUGUUCCAUCGAAAUCCAUGGCAUCCUCGAGCCUUGGGUGGCUGUACUCACCUCCACAUGCUCUUGUACGCCUGCUACUGAAGGAUUCAAGGUCUGACCUUGAAGAUUUUCGCUCAGUUCAUCGCCGAUUCAAGCUUCCCCGGCCAUCUCCGGCAUGUCCUGGUCCUACGAGUCUAUCUCUGGCUCACCUGGCUCAGAGCAGACCUUUUUCCAGGCCUUUCUCGCUUCUAGGGUUCUUCUGAAACCCUAGCCCUUCAAGGUUUUCCUAUAUUCCUUUAUACCCGCUCUAGAUCUGUGCUUGUUUCAAAGUUUACAAAAUGAUUUUCUUAAAUUUUAAAAAAGUUUGCUUUCAAAAAAUUCGUCUUCUCCGAUUUAGGGUUCUUUGAUUUUACUUGUUCUACUGUGAUUUUAUGAGGUGUUCUUACAUUAUUUGUCCUACUGUGAUUCCUGUUUGUUCCUACUCCGACUCAUGUAUGCUUCUUCUAUUAUAUUUCCUUCUAUUUUUUCUUUUACUGUUCUUUCCCUCAGCAUGUUUCACGGAACAAUUAAGUUCCUUUGUGUUUUUCUGAGUUUUGCUCUUGUCUGACUUUUCCGUCUUCAUCCCUACACUGGGUUAAUGACGAAAAACCAAGAAUUUGGGGGUUUUUCAGAUCUGAUUUGUCUGUCUUCAUCCCUACACCCCUCAGCAUGUUUCACGGAACAAUUAAGUUCCUUUGUGUUUUUCUGAGUUUUGCUCUUGUCUGAUUUGUCUGUCUUCAUCCCUACACGAGAUUACAGAUGAACAAACCCUAAAAUUUGGGGAUUUUUCAGACCACGUGUAUGUGACUUGCAUGUUCUCACCUCUAAACUAGUUUGAUUUCGAUUUUUGAAAAGUCAUCUCUAUUUUUCAUACGAUUCUGACCUUUUGUGUUUUAAGUGUUUGUAUGCUCUUUAUAUACUGUGAUUUUUCCCCUAAAACUGGUCUUUCAAAUUUGCAGUUAGUUUGAAAUUCCUUCUCAACACAGCUUGAUUGAUUUCUUUCCAUUUUUUGCCCACGAAUCGACCUAAAUAAAAACCCUUCUCUUUUUAGGCUAGGUUCAUUCGUAUAAAAUCUCAGACCUUUGAUUUUACUGUUUAUUAAUUGUUCAUCUUACCUUAUUUGCACAAACCGUGUGUUUCAAAAACGUUUCCUUAAAUAACUUUAUGUAUUCACCCUUAUUUGUAUUCUAUGCACAUGUUGUUUACUUGAUCCCCUUUCAUUAAAUAUUUUCUUCCUUUAUUGAUCAAAUUAGGAUUCCUUAAUUUAAGUAAUCUCUGUUAGUUGAUUGAUCUUAAUUGAUACUCGACUAAUUUUCUUUCCUUUCUUGCAUGUCUGAUUUCAAGUAUAAAUACAUGUUUUUUUUUACUUUAACAUUCAAUUCUAACAACAAAUAAAAAUCAGAAUUCAUCUCUCCUCUUUACUGCUACUAUCACUACUCUCUAUUGAGCAUUCUAUACUUGCACUUUUUGCUGCUUGAACUCCUAGACACUUGGGAAUUUCUUGAGUUUGUUCUUGCUUAUUCCUGGUUGUUUGUCUGCUGCUGUUAGUCUGCUAUCCUAGAAUCUAUAACUGGUAUGCUCUUUUAUGUUACACAACAUCCCUGUUCAAUUUCUCUGCUUCUACCCCUUUUCUUUGUGUGCUCAUUUAUGCUUUCCUGCACUAUUUAAUUACUUUCAAGCAUGUUAAUCCCUUUCCCCUACCCCCUUUGUAUGUGAGUUUGUCUUGGGUUAUAGCAGCAUUAUGAAUUGUUGUAUGUGAUUUAGGACUAGACUCUUCUUAGUCUCUACUCGACUGCUUUCCCAUUCCCUUUCCCAUCAAUGUGCUGAGCUCUAAUUUGGGUCUGUUAAUGUCCAGAUCAUCAUUCAGACCUGAGUUUGACUCUUUAAGAGUCCGCUCUUUGCUUGAAUCCAAGUGGAAGGUUAGGGGUGUGCCAGUCGAUGCCAUGACGGGGUAUGACCACCUCCUGCUGAGGUUUCUCUCUCAUUUUACACCUACUCCUAGCUCUUAGGUUCUACCCCCCUCAGGUAAGCCAUGCUUCGGGACCCUAGAGUUCCCUUUGAACUUGGAUUCCUAAAGGCUGGUAAUUCCACACAUUGCACUACUCUGUUUCAACAUUCAAUCUUUAGAGUGUAAGCAUUUCCUAUGCUCUUGAAGCUCCUUGGAACUUUGAAACACUCUAAGAGAAGGCCUUGGA
rnacentral:lncRNA from 1 species